GUAGAACACUACCCGCCUGACAGUGAAGCUAGGAGAGAAAUAAACAAUUACUAUCUUUUUAUGGUGAAUUAGGUAUUGCACAAGGCUUCCUUGCACACAGACGAUUAUUUGUCGGAAGACUGGCCUUCUAAGGGAGAAAUUCAGUUGUGUUCCUACUCCACCCGAUACAGAGAGGGCCUGCCUCUUGUUCUCAAAAGUUUGGACGUGAAUUUCAGCGCUGGGCAAAGGAUCGGUAUUGUCGGACGAACUGGUGCGGGGAAAUCCUCACUGACUCUGGCCCUCUUCCGUCUGAUAGAGCCCUCUAGCGGUAAAAUCAUCAUUGACGGCAGAGAUGUUAGCAGGCUUGGGCUUGC